GGAAUCUUCCGCAAUGGACGAAAGUCUGACGGAGCAACGCCGCGUGAACGAUGAAGGUCUUCGGAUUGUAAAGUUCUGUGAUCCGGGACGAAGGCAUCAAUUGAGAAUAUUGAUUGAUGUUGACGGUACCGGAAAAGCAAGCCACGGCUAACUACGUGCCAGCAGCCGCGGUAAUACGUAGGUGGCAAGCGUUGUCCGGAAUUAUUGUGCGUAAAGCGCGCGCAGGCGGCCGUGCAAGUCCAUCUUAAAAGCGUGGGGCUUAACCCCAUGAGGGGAUGGAAACUGCAGGGCUGGAGUGUCGGAGGGGAAAGUGGAAUUCCUAGUGUAGCGGUGAAAUGCGUAGAGAUUAGGAAGAACACCGGUGGCGAAGGCGACUUUCUAGACGACAACUGACGCUGAGGCGCGAAAGCGUGGGGAGCAAACA
rnacentral:rRNA from 1 species